UACGUAGGGUGCAAGCGUUAAUCGGAAUUACUGGGCGUAAAGCGUGCGCAGGCGGCUAUGCAAGACAGAUGUGAAAUCCCCGGGCUCAACCUGGGAACUGCAUUUGUGACUGCAUGGCUAGAGUGCGGCAGAGGGGGAUGGAAUUCCGCGUGUAGCAGUGAAAUGCGUAGAUAUGCGGAGGAACACCGAUGGCGAAGGCAAUCCCCUGGGCCUGCACUGACGCUCAUGCACGAAAGCGUGGGGAGCAAACAGGAUUAGAAACCCCCGUAGUCC
rnacentral:rRNA from 1 species